AAGAAACAUUAACUUUAUUGAUAGGAACUGCUAUUACAUUUAACUUAAAAAGGUCCUCAUUCAGGUAACCUUUUCCUACAUACACAUCAUUCUUACUUAGUACAACACUAUUAGAAACAAAAAUACACUUGAUUCCAUUCUUGACAAGAAGUGAGGUAGACACAAGAUUCUUGUGAAUUUCUGGAACAUGGAGAACUUGGUUUAGAGUCACUAUUUUUUCCGACUUGAAUCCAUUCUUGACAAGAAGUGAGGUAGACACAAGAUUCUUGCGAGUUUCUGGAACAUGGAGAACUUGGUUUAGAGUCACUAUUUGUCCCGACGUCAUCUUCAACGCAAUCUUGCCAAUUCCUUCAAUUUUGGCUGUAGACGAAUUUCCCAUGAAAAUUGUCUCGUCGAGUCCUGCGGGGACAUAAGAAGAAAAUAACUCCUUGUUAGCACAAACAUAGCGGGUGGCUCCAGAAUCUAUCCACCAUUCUUUCGGAUUUCCUACCAAGUU
rnacentral:lncRNA from 1 species